rnacentral:rRNA from 1 species
CCUACGGGUGGCAGCAGUGAGGAAUAUUGGUCAAUGGGAGAGAUCCUGAACCAGCCAAGCCGCGUGAGGGAAGACGGCCCUAUGGGUUGUAAACCUCUUUUGUCGGAGAACAAAACCCGGGCCGUGUCCCGGACCGCGUGGAUCCGGAGAAAAAGGAUCGGCCAACUCCGUGCCAGCAGCCGCGGUAAUACGGAGGAUGCGAGCGGUAUCCGGAUUUAUUGGGUUUAAAGGGUGCGUAGGCGGUCCGUUAAGUCAGCGGUAAAAUUUCGGGGCUCAACCCCGUCGAGCCGUUGAAACUGGCGGACUUGAGUGGGCGAGAAGUAGGCGGAAUGCGUGGUGUAGCGGUGAAAUGCAUAGAUAUCACGCAGAACGCCGAUUGCGAAGGCAGCGUUCCGGCGCCAGACUGACGCUGAGGCACGAAAGCGUGGGGAUCGAACAGGAUUAGAUGCCCGGGUAGUC